rnacentral:rRNA from 1 species
AGAGUUUGAUCCUGGCUCAGGACGAACGCUGGCGGCGUGCUUAACACAUGCAAGUCGAGCGGAAAGGCCCUUCGGGGUACUCGAGCGGCGAACGGGUGAGUAACACGUGAGGAACCUGCCCCUGGCUCUGGGAUAGCUCCGGGAAACCGGGAUUAAUACCGGAUAUGACCACUUGAUGCAUGUCUUGUGGUGGAAAGUUUUUCGGCUGGGGAUGGCCUCGCGGCCUAUCAGCUUGUUGGUGGGGUGAUGGCCUACCAAGGCGACGACGGGUAGCCGGCCUGAGAGGGCGACCGGCCACACUGGGACUGAGACACGGCCCAGACUCCUACGGGAGGCAGCAGUGGGGAAUAUUGCGCAAUGGGCGGAAGCCUGACGCAGCGACGCCGCGUGGGGGAUGACGGCCUUCGGGUUGUAAACCUCUUUCAGCAGGGACGAAGCUAACGUGACGGUACCUGCAGAAGAAGCGCCGGCUAACUACGUGCCAGCAGCCGCGGUAACACGUAGGGCGCAAGCGUUGUCCGGAAUUAUUGGGCGUAAAGAGCUCGUAGGCGGCCUGUUGCGUCUGCUGUGAAAUCCCGGGGCUUAACCCCGGGCUUGCAGUGGAUACGGGCAGGCUAGAGGCAGGCAGGGGAGAAUGGAAUUCCCGGUGUAGCGGUGAAAUGCGCAGAUAUCGGGAGGAACACCGGUGGCGAAGGCGGUUCUCUGGGCCUGUACUGACGCUGAGGAGCGAAAGCGUGGGGAGCGAACAGGAUUAGAUACCCUAGUAGUCC